rnacentral:rRNA from 1 species
AGUGAACGCUGGCGGUAGGCCUAACACAUGCAAGUCGAACGGCAGCACAGAGGAGCUUGCUCCUUGGGUGGCGAGUGGCGGACGGGUGGGGAAUACAUCGGAAUCUACUCUGUCGUGGGGGAUAACGUAGGGAAACUUACGCUAAUACCGCAUACGACCUACGGGUGAAAGCAGGGGACCUUCGGGCCCUGCGCGAUUGAAUGAGCCGAUGUCGGAUUAGCUAGUUGGCGGGGUAAAGGCCCACCAAGGCGACGAUCCGUAGCUGGUCUGAGAGGAUGAUCAGCCACACUGGAACUGAGACACGGUCCAGACUCCUACGGGAGGCAGCAAUGGGGAAUAUUGGACAAUGGGCGCAAGCCUGAUCCAGCCAUACCGCGUGGGUGAAGAAGGCCUUCGGGUUGUAAAGCCCUUUUGUUGGGAAAGAAAUCCAGCUGGCUAAUACCCGGUUGGGAUGACGGUACCCAAAGAAUAAGCACCGGCUAACUUCGUGCCAGCCGCCGCUGUAA